GUCCAGACUCCUACGGGAGGCAGCAGUGGGGAAUAUUGCACAAUGGGGGAAACCCUGAUGCAGCGACGCCGCGUGAGCGAUGAAGUAUUUCGGUAUGUAAAGCUCUAUCAGUAGGGAAGAAAAUGACGGUACCUGACUAAGAAGCCCCGGCCAACUACGUGCCAGCAGCCGCGGUAAUACGUAGGGGGCAAGCGUUAUCCGGAUUUACUGGGUGUAAAGGGAGCGUAGACGGCUGUGCAAGCCAGAUGUGAAAGCCCGGGGCUCAACCCCGGGACUGCAUUUGGAACUGUGUGGCUGGAGUGUCGGAGAGGCAGGCGGAAUUCCUAGUGUAGCGGUGAAAUGCGUAGAUAUUAGGAGGAACACCAGUGGCGAAGGCGGCCUGCUGGACGAUGACUGACGUUGAGGCUCGAAAGCGUGGGGAGCAAACAGGAUUAGAUACCCCCGUAGUA
rnacentral:rRNA from 1 species